UACGAAGGGUGCAAACGUUGCUCGGAAUUAUUGGGCGUAAAGCGCACGUAGGCGGCUACGAAAGUCGGAUGUGAAAUCCCUCGGCUCAACCAAGGAAGUGCACCCGAAACUGCGUAGCUUGAGUACCAAAGAGGAUCGCGGAAUUCCCGGUGUAGAGGUGAAAUUCGUAGAUAUCGGGAGGAACACCAGUGGCGAAGGCGGCUCACUGGCCCGGUACUGACGCUGAGGUGCGAAAGCGUGGGGAGCAAACAGG
rnacentral:rRNA from 1 species